AAAUUAAAAAAAAAAAAAAAAAGAGCUUCUCUCCUGGUAACAUGAUCUCUUUUCCCAGAUUUGGAAGACAGAAGCAAAGGAGAGUCACAAAAGCCAGUUUUGUCACCCUGAGUCCUGCUAACUAGCUGAUAGCCUCUGGCACACGCUGAUCUGGGGAUGCAGAGGAGGCCACAGGAGUGCCCAGGAGCCUGAAGAUGGAACAGAGAAAAUGGAGAAACCAGAGUAUGCGGGGUAGAGCUUGAUAGUUAAGAUCCUGUUUUCUCAACUAUCAAUCUACCCCUCAUAAAAUCGGCGUCAUCAGUUAACACAAAACCCAGGGUGUGGCUUUCAGACCCAAAGUCCCUACUCUGAUCUGUGAGUAUCCACAUGAUUCGGCCCCUGCCUACUUCUAAUGACUUCAUCCCUUACCACAUCCCUGUGACUUGCUACACUUGACCCAUACGAACAGGUGCACUUCAAUCUUAGGAAGCUCACACCAGCAGUCCCUUGGUUUGGAACAUUCCUGCCCUACUCCUUCCUGCCCCUGCUAUUUUCUCAUAGCUGCUUCUUCCCUACCAUUGAGAUUUCAACUUAAAUGUCGUCUUGCAUUGAGGACUCUGAGCAGAAAGUAAAGUAGGCUCUCAGUCACUUUA